rnacentral:rRNA from 1 species
CCUUAGAGUUUGAUCCUGGCUCAGGAUGAACGCUAGCUACAGGCUUAACACAUGCAAGUCGAGGGGCAGCAUGAACUUAGCUUGCUAAGUUUGAUGGCGACCGGCGCACGGGUGAGUAACACGUAUCCAACCUGCCGAUGACUCGGGGAUAGCCUUUCGAAAGAAAGAUUAAUACCCGAUGGCAUAGUUCUUCCGCAUGGUAGGACUAUUAAAGAAUUUCGGUCAUCGAUGGGGAUGCGUUCCAUUAGCUUGUUGGCGGGGUAACGGCCCACCAAGGCAUCGAUGGAUAGGGGUUCUGAGAGGAAGGUCCCCCACAUUGGAACUGAGACACGGUCCAAACUCCUACGGGAGGCAGCAGUGAGGAAUAUUGGUCAAUGGGCGCUAGCCUGAACCAGCCAAGUAGCGUGAAGGAUGACUGCCCUAUGGGUUGUAAACUUCUUUUAUAUGGGAAUAAAGUGCAGUAUGUAUACUGCUUUGCAUGUACCUUAUGAAUAAGGAUCGGCUAACUCCGUGCCAGCAGCCGCGGUAAUACGGAGGAUCCGAGCGUUAUCCGGAUUUAUUGGGUUUAAAGGGAGCGUAGGCGGGUUGUUAAGUCAGUUGUGAAAGUUUGCGGCUCAACCGUAAAAUUGCAGUUGAUACUGGCAUCCUUGAGUACAGUAGAGGUAGGCGGAAUUCGUGGUGUAGCGGUGAAAUGCUUAGAUAUCACGAAGAACUCCGAUUGCGAAGGCAGCCUGCUGGACUGUAACUGACGCUGAUGCUCGAAAGUGUGGGUAUCAAACAGGAUUAGAUACCCUGGUAGUCCACACAGUAAACGAUGAAUACUCGCUGUUUGCGAUAUACAGUAAGCGGCCAAGCGAAAGCGUUAAGUAUUCCACCUGGGGAGUACGCCGGCAACGGUGAAACUCAAAGGAAUUGACAGGGGCCCGCACAAGCGGAGGAACAUGUGGUUUAAUUCGAUGAUACGCGAGGAACCUUACCCGGGCUCAAACGGGGAGUGGCGCAGGCAGAGACGCCUGUUUCCCACGGGACACUCCCCGAGGUGCUGCAUGGUUGUCGUCAGCUCGUGCCGUGAGGUGUCGGCUUAAGUGCCAUAACGAGCGCAACCCCCGCGUGCAGUUGCUAACAGUCAACGCUGAGGACUCUGCACGGACUGCCGGCGCAAGCCGCGAGGAAGGCGGGGAUGACGUCAAAUCAGCACGGCCCUUACGUCCGGGGCGACACACGUGUUACAAUGGGUGGUACAGCGGGAAGCCAGGCGGCGACGCCGAGCGGAACCCGAAAUCCACUCUCAGUUCGGAUCGGAGUCUGCAACCCGACUCCGUGAAGCUGGAUUCGCUAGUAAUCGCGCAUCAGCCAUGGCGCGGUGAAUACGUUCCCGGGCCUUGCACUCACCGCCCGUCAAG